AGAGUUUGAUCCUGGCUCAGGAUGAACGCUAGCGGGAGGCUUAACACAUGCAAGUCGAGGGGCAGCAUUACCUUCGGGUAGAUGGCGACCGGCGCACGGGUGAGUAACGCGUAUGCAACCUACCUUUUACAGAGGGAUAGCCCAGAGAAAUUUGGAUUAAUACCUCAUAGUACUAUUUUUUCGCAUGAUAAGAUAGUUAAAGUUUCGGCGGUAAAAGAUGGGCAUGCGUGACAUUAGAUUGUUGGCGGGGUAACGGCCCACCAAGUCUGCGAUGUCUAGGGGUUCUGAGAGGAUGAUCCCCCACACUGGUACUGAGACACGGACCAGACUCCUACGGGAGGCAGCAGUGAGGAAUAUUGGUCAAUGGACGCAAGUCUGAACCAGCCAUCCCGCGUGAAGGAUGACGGUCCUAUGGAUUGUAAACUUCUUUUAUGUACCAAGAAUGUGCCUUACGUGUAAGGUUUUGACGGUAGUACAUGAAUAAGCAUCGGCUAACUCCGUGCCAGCAGCCGUGGUAAUACGGAGGAUGCGAGCGUUAUCCGGAUUCAUUGGGUUUAAAGGGUGCGUAGGCGGCUUAUUAAGUCAGUGGUGAAAUCCUGCGGCUCAACCGUAGAACUGCCAUUGAAACUGAUAAGCUUGAAUAUAGUUGAGGUAGGCGGAAUGAGUAGUGUAGCGGUGAAAUGCUUAGAGAUUACUCAGAACACCGAUUGCGAAGGCAGCUUACUAAACUAUUAUUGACGCUGAGGCACGAAAGCGUGGGGAGCGAACAGGAUUAGAUACCCUGGUAGUCCACGCCGUAAACGAUGUUCACUCGCUGCUUGCGAUACAUAGUAAGUGGCCAAGCGAAAGCAUUAAGUGAACCACCUGGGGAGUACGUCGGCAACGGUGAAACUCAAAGGAAUUGACGGGGGCCCGCACAAGCGGAGGAACAUGUGGUUUAAUUCGAUGAUACGCGAGGAACCUUACCUGGGCUUAAAUGUAGAUUGCACGUGGUGGAAACACCCUUCCCUUCGGGGCUAUCUACAAGGUGCUGCAUGGUUGUCGUCAGCUCGUGCCGUGAGGUGUCGGGUUAAGUCCCAUAACGAGCACCCCCUAUCGUUAGUUGCCAUCAGGUUAAGCUGGGGACUCUAACGAGACUGCCACCGUAAGGUGAGAGGAAGGUGGGGAUGACGUCAAAUCAGCACGGCCCUUAUGUCCAGGGCUACACACGUGUUACAAUGGCAGGUACAAAGGGCAGCUACACCGUGAGGUGAUGCUAAUCUCUAAAGCCUGUCUCAGUUCGGAUCGGAGUCUGCAACUCGACUCCGUGAAGUUGGAUUCGCUAGUAAUCGCGUAUCAGCAAUGACGCGGUGAAUACGUUCCCGGGCCUUGUACACACCGCCCGUCAAACCAUGGAAGCUGGGGGGACCUGAAGUCUGUCACCGUAAGGAGCGGCCUAGGGUAAAACCGGUAACUGGGGUUAAGUCGGAACAAGGUA
rnacentral:rRNA from 1 species